AGUGAACGCUGGCGGUAGGCCUAACACAUGCAAGUCGAACGGCAGCACAGUAAGAGCUUGCUCUUACGGGUGGCGAGUGGCGGACGGGUGAGGAAUACAUCGGAAUCUACUUUUUCGUGGGGGAUAACGUAGGGAAACUUACGCUAAUACCGCAUACGACCUACGGGUGAAAGCAGGGGAUCUUCGGACCUUGCGCGAUUGAAUGAGCCGAUGUCGGAUUAGCUAGUUGGCGGGGUAAAGGCCCACCAAGGCGACGAUCCGUAGCUGGUCUGAGAGGAUGAUCAGCCACACUGGAGCUGAGACACGGUCCAGACUCCUACGGGAGGCAGCAGUGGGGAAUAUUGGACAAUGGGCGCAAGCCUGAUCCAGCCAUACCGCGUGGGUGAAGAAGGCCUUCGGGUUGUAAAGCCCUUUUGUUGGGAAAGAAAAGCAGCAGGUUAAUACCCCGCUGUUCUGACGGUACCCAAAGAAUAAACACCGGCGAACUUCGU
rnacentral:rRNA from 1 species